rnacentral:lncRNA from 1 species
UAGCUACCACGGCUGGCCAAUAGGCUGUAAAUCUUGCCUGGUGUUUUGUAAGAAAGGAAAAAAUAGAAUGAUUUGUGUUGACUUUUGGUCAUCGUGUAUCAUUAUCGAUCCGGGGGAGGGCGGCGAGAAGCGCGUACCGCGGAUCUGUUGCUCGCCACUUCUCCGGGAAGGCGGCGUGAGCCAGCAGUCAGUAGAGGGCAAUAGAGAAAUACAGUUUGUGAUGCCUAAAGGAUUUGAAGCCCUGAUUAUGUGUUUACAGAAAAGAAAAAGAAGAAAAGAAGAGCCAGGAGGAUAGGUUGUUCAGUUUACUACCGGAGACCUGACUGUGACAGACCACCAAGAAAACAAAAUUUAUCAAGAGAGUAAAGAAGACCUUCUGCAGCAUCUGCAAGUCUCUCCUUUUUUCUUCAGAGUUACGUAGGAUAACUUAGCCAGAACUUAUUGAUGUCUGCAUGUUCAGUGGACUCGGGAAUGACUGGGAGAUGCAGAAACAUACUCUUUGGAAGAAACAGAAGAGGAGGCAUUUCAAAGAUCCUGCAGGUGACAAAGGUCCUUGUAAAACAUACAGGUAUGGCUGCUCUGCUCUGGUUUUGCUUCAGAGGAAGAACAAACCUUGAGGAAAAUGGAAAAGGAGCACUGCAUGUUUCUGCUGCCUCUCCUGACUCCAGGGCCAAUGAAGGUGAUGAUCUGCUGACAGAAUAAAUAAAUUGUAGAAAGUGCCAAGACUGUUCAGGCAUUUGCUGUAGUAUCACUCCCACAGGAGGAACCUUCAUCACAGUCUUUCUUCAAGUAUGUUCUCUCCUCUGGUAAGUUUUUCAGACAUAUAAUCUUUUCCUGUGUCAAGAGUUUUCAGCAGAGAGAGUGAGAUGAGUUCUGAAAAGUCCAGCCCUGGUCCUAGAUUUUGUCAUCAGAACUGCGGGCUAUAGUCAGUAAACCUAGUUGUGCUCAUGUAAAACACAUGCAAGAUUUGGUCACCCUGUGGAAUAUAGUAAAUACCACAGGACUAAAUUACAGGUGUCACUAACUUUAGUUUGUGUUUCCUUUGUCCCCAUGAAGUGGACCUCAUUUGCACAGUGUGUAAAAUUUUUUACUUGUCUGUUUACCUGACAUUAAAUUUUUAAUACUGGCACCUGUAUUUGCAACUUAUGACUUUCCAAAUUAUGUCAGUUCCUCUAAAUAAUUAAAAAAGACCCUCUUGUCCAAUAUUAAAAAACAAAGAAACAAAAAUCCAUUAAUAAUUCUGACAACUAACCUUUGGAAUGGAGAUCUAAUUAGUUCUUAUUGAGCUUGGUCCAAAGAUCAUUGAAGCAAUUUGGAGUCUUUCCAUUAAAGUUAAUUGACUUUAGAGCAAAAUCCUCAGACACGCUAGUUUAGCAACAUAGGAUAGCAAGCAGUCUGUCUGUCACCCAUCAGCAACAUCACCUCCAGACAGAGAGGCUGUUUUAGCUGUUCUAUUUGACAUUGUUUCUGGUAAAGAUGUUGCCUAAAUUGAUUAUGUCCCUGUGGGCAAAUAGAGGACCUAGAAAAAACUUCAUGCCCUGGGUACCUGUUUAUGUGGCAGUCACCAAAGCCUGCAGGUUUCACACAUUCCAGUGUCAAUGUGGAGCUUUCGUCAGAAGUGUCAACAUUAACAAGAUUUUAAACUGCAGGCGAAUAUAGAGGAUCAUUUGAUCCUGGCAAGGAAAUGUUUGCCUCAGCACUUGUGGGAUAAUGUAGAGUAAGCAGCAAAUCAUUGAUGAAUCUGUAAUGCAACACCAGUCCCAGGAGUGCUCAGGCAAAAUUGCUGCAAAGAAGAAGGAAAGACAGCAAAAGUGAUUAAAUGCAGUGAAAGAUUCAGACCUUGGGAGACCUUUAGGGAGACACUUCUUAUUUUAAGCAUAAAGGAAAAAACAGUACAGAAUUAUGUGCAUAAGCCUUUCAUUUUGGUUUAAUAAAAACCGUGAGGAACCCA